rfam:Apaloderma vittatum contig488, whole genome shotgun sequence.
GGCCGGUUAGCUCAGUCAGUUGAGCGUGGCUUUAACAAUGCCAAGGAUGCGGAUUCGAUUCCCGUUCAGUCCC